rnacentral:tRNA from 1 species
GGGCUCUUAGCUCAGUUGGUUUAGAGCGCACCCCUGAUAAGGGUGAGGUCGCUGGUUCAAAUCCAGCAUGGCCCA